rnacentral:lncRNA from 1 species
GAAAUUCUCUUGGCCAGUCACAGCGACUCAUGCCUGUAAACCCAGCAUUUUGUGAGGUCAAGGCAGGAGGAUUGCCUGAGCCUGGGAGUUCAGGACAAGCCUGGGCAACAUAGGAAGACCCUGUCUCUACAAAAAAUUUAAAAUUAGCUGGGCAUGGUGGUGCAAACCUGUAGUCCCAGCUACCUGGGAGGCUGAGGUGGGAGAAUUGCUUGAGCCCAGGAGGUUGAGGCUGCAGUGAGCUAUGAUUAUGCCACCGCACUCCCGCCUGAGUGACCAAGUGAGCUCCUAUCUCAGAAAACAAAAACAACAAAAGAAGAACAUUCUCUCACUCUCUAGUUGGAUUCUUUCUAUAGUACACGGCUAUCUGUGCUGGCCCCUGGCUGGAGGGGAGGGCAGUGGCAGAGGAGAUGGAGACAGGAAACGGGAGAACUGAAUGGGAGAGAGAGGGAAGGGGGAAAUGGAGGGGGAAGAGAGGAGGGGAGAGGAGAAGGGAAAUGGAGGUGAGGGGUGGUGGAAAGAGGGGAGGAGGGAGGAAGAAUAGAGGAAAACAAUGGGCCAGAAAUGGGAACUUGGGUUUUUUCCUCUCACAGGCCCCAGAGCCUCCACACGGGGAGCAACCAGUCAGCUAACCCCAUUCACAUCCCAGAGCCCUCAGAGUCUGGUCUGGGUCUCAUCCGCGUCACCCUGCACCACUCCUUGUCUACAAGAUCCUUGGUCUGAAAUAGCAUGGGAGGCUCUGGAAGCUGUGGCAUUGCCCUAGGGUCAGGCUCAUUUUGAUAGGUACCUAGGAGGGGGGCAUUCCUUCAGGUUGGGGCCUUCUUGCUCUUCUCUACCCCCUCACAUCAGGCCACAGGCCCCACUCAUAGCUGCAAGGGAGGAGGAAGAAGAAAAUACAGAAAAAAAUUCUUUUUUUUUUUUUGGAGACAGGGUCUUGCUCUGUCGCCCAGACUGGAGUGCAAUGGUGCGGUCACAGCUCACUGCCUCCUGGGCUCAGCUCAAACCCUUUCACCUCAGCCCCCGGAGUAGCUGGGACCACAGGCACACACCACUAUGCCCAGCUUCUUCUACUUUAUUUUAUUUUAUUUUUGUAGAGACAGGGUUUUGCUAUGCUGCCCAGGCUGGUCUCGAACUCCUGACCUCAAGUGGUCUACCCAUCUCAGCCUCUGAAAGUGCUGGGAUCACAGACAUGAGCCACCACGCCCGGCAGAAAAUAAGGAAAAAAAAAUCUAUUAACAAUUACAUAAGGCUUUAAUGUUAGUUAGAAUGCUUUUGGCAGGAAAAAAUAGAAGACCCAAAUCAAAAUGUCCUAAACAAUAAGGGGACUAAAAAUCUUGUAAAAACUUCGGAGGCAGAGCAAGGUUUGGUGUCAAGGUUGGUUAAUUCAGGGGCUCAACACUCUAUCGGGGCCCAUGCUCUUUUCAGCUUUCUGUGUUGCCUUGCUAUUGAGCGGUAGCUUUUGUCCUCGUGUUUGUCCCAUUCUGGUCACAAGACGGCUGCAGCAACCUCAAGCACCAGGCACAAGCACAAGCACAAGCACAAUGUGCUCACGCAGUAAUGCCCAGGGCUGCAAGAGGAAAAUCCUUUCCCUGAGUUCUUUUUUAAGAGCAAGGAAAUUUUUGCAAGAAUAUCUUCCUUCCAACCCCCAACCGGCAGACAUUACCUCACCUCUCAUUUCCAUAAUUACAUCACAUGCUGGUUCCUUAACCAGGCCCUGGCGAAACAACUGGAAUUACCUUGAUUGGCUUAGGGGAAGGUUCACCCUGGUAGUGAAGCCCAGCCCCUCCAAUGCACAUGGGUGUCCCACACCAGGACAGAGCUGCGUUGUGUUGGCAGGUGGAACAAGCUGGGAAUGGCUUUGAAGUAGCUAUGCAACAGUGGCUACUGCCUGUGACAGCCUCUUCUGUGACAUGUGGCAUAUGCUGCCUCGAAUUGGGAUUAUGCAUGUGUGGUCUGUCUCUACAAUCUGAGAAGCAAAAAGCUAAAUAUAUUUCCUAUAGUACCCAGCACAGUGACUUGCACCAAACAGGUGUUGCAAAAAUAAUGAACGAAUAAAACUUGAAAGUUGAAAAUGAAGCCCAGUGCGGUGUGCUGUUGUCUCAGCUACACAGGAGGCUGAAGUGGGAGGAGUGUUUGAGCCCAGGAGUUCAAGGCCAGCCUGGGCAACAUAGUAAGACUCAGUCUCUAAAAAAAUAAACUUAGCAAGUAUCAGGCUUAAUUUAAAAAAAAGAAAGAAAGAAAGAAAGAAAGAAGAACGGCCAGGUGCGGUGGCUCACGCCUGUAAUCCCAGCACUUUGGGAGGCCAAGGCAGGCGGAUCACAAGGUCAAGAGUUCGAGACCAGCCUGGCCAACAUGGUGAACCCUCAGCUCUACUAAGAAUACAAAAAUUAGCCAGGAGUGGUGGCGGGUACCUGUAAUCCCAGCUACUCAGGAGGCUGAGGCAGGAGAACUGCUUGAACCCGAGAGGCGGAGCUUGCAGUGAGCUGAGAUGGCACCACUGCACUCCAGCCUGGGUGACAGAGCAAGACUCUGUAUUGG